rnacentral:rRNA from 1 species
CCCUUAGAUGUCCUGGGCCGCACGCGCGCUACACUGAUGCAUUCAACGAGCUUAUAACCUUGGCCGAGAGGCCUGGGCAAUCUUGUUAACGCGCAUCGUGAUAGGGAUAGAUUAUUGAAAUUAUUAAUCUUGAACGAGGAAUUCCUAGUAAACGCAGAUCAUCAAUCUGCAUUGAUUACGUCCCUGCCCUUUGUACACACCGCCCGUCGCACCUACCGAUUGGAUGGUCCGGUGAAGCCUCGGGAUUGUGGUUCUUGCCGCUUUAUUGUGGCGUGACCGCGAGAACUUGUCUAAACCUUAUCAUCUAGAGGAAGGUGAAGUCGUAACA